rnacentral:rRNA from 1 species
CCUACGGGUGGCAGCAGUAGGGAAUAUUGCUCAAUGGUGGGAACCCUGAAGCAGCAACGCCGCGUGGAGGAUGAAGGUUUUCGGAUUGUUAACUCCUUUUGUUAGAGAAGAUAAUGACGGUAUCUAACGAAUAAGCACCGGCUCACGCUGUGACAGCAGCCGCGGGAAUACGGAGGGUGCAAGCGUUACUCGGAUGCACUGGGCGUAAAGAGCGCGUAGGCGGGAUAGCAAGUCAGAUGUGAAAUCCUAGGGCUUAACCAUAGAACUGCAUUUGAAACUGUUAUUCUAGAGUAUGGGAGAGGUAGGUGGAAUUCGUGGUGUAGGGGUAAAAUCCGUAGAGAUCAAGAGGAAUACUCAUUGCGAAGGCGACCUGCUAGAACAUAACUGACGCUGAUGCGCGAAAGCGUGGGGAGCAAACAGGAUUAGAUACCCUAGUAGUC